rnacentral:rRNA from 1 species
GUCCACGCCCUAAACGAUGUCAACUAGGUGUUGGGAGGGUAAAACCUUUUAGUACCGGAGCUAACGCGCGAAGUUGACCGCCUGGGGAGUACGGCCGCAAGGUUAAAACUCAAAGGAAUUGACGGGGACCCGCACAAGCGGUGGAUGAUGUGGAUUAAUUCGAUGCAACGCGAAAACCUUACCUACCCUUGACAUGUCCAGAAGCUCUUAGAGAUUUUGAGUGUGCCCGAAAGGGAGCUGGAACACAGGUGCUACAUGGCUGUCGU